UGGUCUACAGGAUUGAAGAAGUCUUCAACAAAUGUUCAGAUGAUGGAGUGAGAUGUUAACUUGACUUUUCUUGAUCAUAUGUGAUGUUUCAGAUGAUCUUAGAUAAUCACUUUCUUCUCUUGAAGUUGUCAUAUGUUGUUCAUGUGAUGGACAAACAUUGACUUUGACUUCAUUCUUCAUCAUUUGUGCUUGCCAAGAUCAUGGGACUCCUUGCCUCAUUCUUUUUGUGUAGAAGGUCUUGAGGAUUCUUUGAUCCUUUUUCUUUGUUUCUCAAUACCUGCACACUUCGCAAGUUAGUAGAUAAAUUAUUCUUUUGCUUUGUUAUCAUCAAACCAAAAUGAACAAGAUAUUGAUUCGAACAUAUUUUGUUCUAACACUUUCUAACAACUCAAGCAGGUCAUGCUCAAUUUGCUCACACUAAAUCUUCCCGGUUUCUCCCAACCUUUAUCGAUGCUCCCAAAUGAAUUCCAUUAUAUUUUAAAGGUUGUGGUUGUGGAUGAACUCUUUUGACUUUAUUCCACCUGUGUUCUCAUCCGCGAUUUUGAUCUAGUACACUCUUUUCUUUAUGUUUCAAUUAUUUAAAUCAAUUAUUUUUUGGCUCUUCUAGUGUUAAUCUUGCAAGAAUUGGCAGAGGAGCCAUGACCUUACCUUACUUGCCUUCCUUUGCCUAUGUUAAAAAAGAGGAAAGAACGAUGCGCCAAAGAAGUUGCAUUCAUAGACAAGUGGUUGCUACUUGCUAGCAAUCCUAAGAGAAGACAUGUCAAAUUCCAAAUUUAUCAUCCAAAUUCCAACACAGUAGAUCAACACAACAGCAGUGACAUCUCCAUACAUACAGAAGAAAGGGUCUUACAAAG